CGCAGGGGCUGAUGGGAGGUUUGAGGAGCUGUUAGAAACCACGACGCCCUCGUCUGAUCUCACAGCUCGUCCUUGUUUGGCCUCAGCUGCAUCAGAGCACCACUUCUCCCCAGGUUCACCAGAGGAAACACCACUGCACAAAAUGCUUUUCCUCCCAGCUGCUGCUCUGUGCUGUCUGUGUUCAGCGCUGGUUGCCAUGGCAGAAGAGCUGAUUCAGGAAGAUUUAACAUUGACCAAGAAAGCUGGUGAAAAAGUCUCCUUCAGAUGUAAAGGAACUGAUCAGUGUGGUGGUACAAAUGUAUACUGGCUCCAAAAGAAAGACAAAUCAACAUUCACAGUGAUUCUACAUAUUGAUAAGAAUAAUGGUAAAAUUGAUAGAGGGUACAAUCAUCCUCAGAAAGAUGAUUUCUCAGCUGUAAGAAAAAAGAACGGCUGUGACUUGGUGAUUAAAAUUGAACCCUUACAUUCAGCCACCUACUACUGCGCCUGUUAUAAAACUGGCUCCCACAGUGAGAAAUGA